AGCAGCAUGAGGGCUACUGCUUUCUCCCAGUCCCAUCUCAAGUUACAAACCUGGUAAAAGUGUUCUGUACUUGCAUUUUAAAGGCAUAGUCUAGUCCUUAGCAAGUGGUCUGAAUUGGAAAUACUUUGCUGAAGCUGCCACUGUCCUCUCAGGAAAGAAGUACCAGAAAUGUGGUGGAAGCUGAACCAUGCAUAUCAGCAUCAGACUGAUUUGAGAUCAGCUUAAAUUCAUCAUGAAACUGAACUUCAACAAGAUGCCUAAAAAAGGUGAUAUGAAUACACAGCCUUUGGUUUCCUCACUGUAAUAAAAAAAUGGUGACAUAAAAUUUC